rnacentral:rRNA from 1 species
GCGGCAACAGCUCAAAUUUGAAAUCUGGCUCUCUUUGGGGGUCCGAGUUGUAAUUUGCAGAGGAUGCUUUGGCAUUGGCGGCGGUCUAAGUUCCUUGGAACAGGACAUCGCAGAGGGUGAGAAUCCCGUACGUGGGCGCCUGCCUUUGCCGUGUAAAGCUCCUUCGACGAGUCGAGUUGUUUGGGAAUGCAGCUCUAAAUGGGAGGUAAAUUUCUUCUAAAGCUAAAUACCGGCCAGAGACCGAUAGCGCACAAGUAGAGUGAUCGAAAGAUGAAAAGUACUUUGGAAAGAGAGUCAAAAAGCACGUGAAAUUGUUGAAAGGGAAGCGCUUGCAGCCAGACUUGCCCGCAGUUGCUCACCUAGGCUUUGGCCUGGGGCACUCUUCUGCGGGCAGGCCAGCAUCAGUUUGGGCGGUUGGAUAAAGGCCUCUGUCACGUAUCUUCCUUCGGGAUGACCUUAUAGGGGAGGCGUAAUGCAACCAGCCCGGACUGAGGUCCGCGCAUCUGCUAGGAUGCUGGCGUAAUGGCUGUAAGCGGCCCGUCUUGAAACACGGACCAAGGAGUCUAACAUCUAUGCGAGUGUUUGGGUGUCAAGCCCGGGCGCGCAAUGAAAGUGAACGGAGGUGGGAACCCUUUGGGUGCACCAUCGACCGAUCCUGAUGUCUUCGGAUGGAUUUGAGUAAGAGCAUAGCUGUUGGGACCCGAAAGAUGGUGAACUAUGCUUGAAUAGGGUGAAGCCAGAGGAAACUCUGGUGGAGGCUCGCAGCGGUUCUGACGUGCAAAUCGAUCGUCAAAUUUGGGCAUAGGGGCGAAAGACUAAUCGAA